AAAACAACCGCGAUCGAAUAAUAACGCUUCUGACUGUCGGUCGUGUCAUCCAGCCAAGAACGAACUGGGCGACUGUUGGGUUUCACCACUGAUUGAAAAAGGAAAGUUAUCGAGCUUGCUGUGACAAUUUUUCGACUCUACAGACAACAGUAAAGAGAAACAAUUGUCGCGAAAGUUUGUCUCGGUUCGAUCGAGAAGUAGAUUAGCAACUUAAAUCUCUGGCCACAGUGGGUCGAUGUUUUCGCUGUGAACUGCUAACUGAGAUGGGUCAGACAGAAAGUCGUCGGUGUAGGAUUUGUGCUACAAAGUUAAACCCGAAGAAAAAACAGGACAUGGAACAAUCACUGUGUUCAAAGUGCAGGAAAAAGGGCUCAAAGGCGUUGUGGGAGAACAGGUCAACUCUGAAAUCAAUUGUGUUUGGAGGAGGAAAGAAAGAAAAGAAGAAGAAAAAGAAGGGAAAGAAACAGAAGAAGAACAAGAACAAGAGCAAGGGAGAAUAAUAAUGGCGGCAUUCUUGAGCGAAGGGUAGUCUAGGUGAAACAAAAUGGCUCUUGCUCAAGAAAUGUUAGUCUUUGUUUGUUAAUGACAGUUCAUCGUGAAAGAGGUCCCCUUGUACAUAAGAAUUCCCUUGCAGCAUUUCAAAAACUGCAAUGAAUCCGUUAAACUUUCUUAUUUCAAGUAAUGGGUUUCAGAUACCUCACCGUAGCUAUUCACGGGAUAGUUUUCUUGGAAAGAGGGGAUGGUGGGUAACGUAGUUUCUUUUGAAGUAUGGUUUGGAUGAAGUUUUCAUUACAAGAUUUAAUUCUGACAAAUCAUUAACCAGAAGAAGUUGUUGAUUUGUAAUGGCUAAAAAAACAAAUCAGACUUUCUAUACUAUAAUUAAUAUAUAAUUUUUAGGGAUAUGUGGUUGCAUUUGCUUACGAAGUACAAUCCUUGUCACAAUUGCUUAAACAUUUCCUCCUUUCCCAAAUGUCAAUGUUGGUAACAGAAGGUUGCACCACUUGAAAAAAAUUCAACCUUAGAAGGGUAGGGAGAGGGGUGAUUCUAUCAAAGUUGACGAGUGUUAAGGGUACUUUUCAUGUUAUGAUUCAAAUAGCCCAUGGUCCCAACAGUGUUUAAAACUUUGCAACAUAAAAUGACAAACCAAUGAGGAACUGGUUGGAGUUAGGCCUGUUUGUGAAUUAAGGCACUAUAGGCAUGGAUAGCAAACUGCCUUCCCUUUGUUUUCCUAUUUGGCGCCAACUUAAUAAUAAUGUGUAACCUAUUAAAGCAAUGAUAGAACACAAUAAAAUGAACUCUGUAACGUGAUAAAGCCACUCGGGAUGUUGGAAGAACACAAGGAAGAGCUUUCCGAGUGUUCACGUAACAUCCCAAGUGGCUUUGUCACGGAAUAGAGCCCGGAAUAAUGCGUCCUAUUGCUUUUAUAACAGAACUAAUUAAAUGCGGGCCCUAUAACCUAGUAAAGCACCCGCUUGGAAACUGAAUUACCACUCAGACGAUGCGUACUAUUUUCUUUAUGUUAUAACAAGAGUUAGCCUUUCCUCCUGA
rnacentral:lncRNA from 1 species